rnacentral:lncRNA from 1 species
AAAAAACAAAUCCAAGAGUUCAGAACCCAGAUGGAGGUCACCAAAUUAGAGACUUGACUAUAUGCAUGACAGUAUGUGAAAUAAUUGGAGACAAUCAAAAAACAGCUUCAACAAUCUCAAUUUAUAGUCAAAAUCAAAGCCAAAAACGUAGAACAUAUCAUGGAAGAAAUUAAAUCAGUAAUCCUGAGCACUUAAAUUGAGGAACAUCAUUGCUCCAGAUUCUUUCCUUUCAAACUCACUCCAAAAUGUGCAAGCAAAUACACAUAAGCAGUUAAACGCCCAAAUCUUUUAUCGUCAAAUGAAAACAACACUAAUUUUCGAUUCAGCAAGUCCUCCAGAUCAACUAGCAAUUUCAAGAAGGCCUAUCAAAUUAGGAAGCAAGACCCUGGACAACUCGGUUACGGCAGAAGAUUGUGAGAAGCAUUUAGAACAUCUUUAAAUUUAUGGAGAACACUAGAAACUAUAUACAAGUGCGACGUCAACCACAAAUUCAGAAUAAGUGAGAACACUUCUGAAACUGCACAAGAGAAUCUUCACAACUCAAUUGGUAUACUUCAAAUUCCCAGAAAAAAAGUUGAACAUCACAUCAAACAAGCAAAAUCAACUCCCAAAUUGGGCACUGCUGAAAUCUCCAAUUCUCAUUGGAGCAGAAGCCCCAGUAAGCAAAUGAACAGAAGCUCAAUUACAAAGGAAGGUCGUCAUGUGCAACGAGAUGAAAUACCUUCCAAACUUAAGGAACAGAUUAAGCAAUUAGGGGUAGAAAAAACGUACAAGGUCAUGCCAAAAUCUCAGCAAAAAUCAAGCUCAAAACAACUCCAAACCAAGACACAGAUAAUCGCAAGAAGAUCCACGGGCCCAAACAAGCUAUGCUUCCUCCAUUCUUAUGGCAAUUAAACCAAACAAGGCUUUCUUUUGUCACUCAACGCAUGGUCCCUGAUACAAAAGCAGGGAAAAACCUGACACAGGGC